UUGACUUAAGUUUACACUUGCUACUCUUUGAGUGGGUUGACAAAUGAUAAGUGAACUACACUGAAACAAAAAGCAAAUUAAGUCAGCCUAGCAAGUGUAAUUGUCAGUUCAUGUCGACAGUCAAGGACUCAGGUGUCACAUUACCUCAUGGAGAGCUGUGAAUUUAGUGAGAGCAGCAGUCAGGGAGGCUGGUGCUGUGGGAAAUCUUUGGAUGAGAGGUUAACAAAUUGCUCCUCAUGUGUCCUUCAUUCUGAAGGUAGUCUGCUACUUAUCCUAUCCUUGGUCCUGCCCCCAUCAACCAUUUUGGAGACGGUCCAGUACUUGAUUUGAACUUUGCUUCCUACCUGGCCUUAAUUCUCCUGCAAUAUCUCUUGUUUGUCUUUGGACAUUGGACAUUAUCAAAUGAGGUCUUUUUAGGCCAAUCAGUCUUAAGCACUUGUUCAGGUCCUAUAACAGCAUGGUGUAUGAUCUGCUUACCUGAACUUCAUCGAGAUUGAUCCCAUUGCCCUCCAGGAGAGCUAAAAACCUGCUGUGAUUCUCAUCAGUUGCUGAUAAUGUGUGCCUCAUGUUGAUACAGACUGGAAAUGAAGAAGAUAUAUGGAAGUGUAGAUGUCACAGAUAUAGAAGUUGAAGCCAUGAGAUUUCAAAACAGGCUUAUAAACACAUUGACAUAUUGUCUUCUUACUCAAAUGGAAAACUUCCUUUAUCAUAUUAUGUGGUCGAACAACAAGAAUAUAGGGAGGAAAAGUCUGAUUUAGGAAGCAACGCUAAAGCUGUAAUUAUAUCUGCGCAUAAUUUGGAACUUCAAUCUUGGAAAUUCUCUCUCUUCUGAAUCUGUGUAGGAAGUCCUGAGCAUUGGGGACGCCUUCAAUUGAAUGAUAAGGAAUUGGAGAAUCUGUUUGAGCAACUACAUUUCUACUGUGGGACUGCACUACUUCACACUACUGCAGAUGCAGUGCAGAUUGUAAAUACUGAUAAUGUCAGCAAUUUGUCCGAAACUUCCCAUAUUCAGGCACAAGUCAUUCAGCAGCUGAAGUGGCAUCUCCAACAUGGAAGCUGGGAUGGCUAUAUGAUCCUUUCCAAUUUUUGAUGAAGAAAGAAUAUUGGUUCUUAUGUUAAUAAGAAAAUGAAAGCAUUUGAAAGCAAGGGUAACAUGUAACGGAAGUGUUCAUCAAUAAUAUGUUAGAUUCUUGCCUGGCCAGCAUUUCAUUUUCUACUACUCAUCAAAAUCAUACCUUUGGACCUCGCACUUCUUGACUUGUUUCAAGAGAUCCAGCCCCGGUCACUGUGUUCACCACUAUCUCUUCAACUGCUAUGUACUCAUCAUAAUGUUCCAUCUCCUGCUUACAGCGAAACAAUAAGGAAGGUUAGAGGUGAUCGUGAUACUAAGAACCGUGUCAACACCUUACGAAACUGCAAUGCCCUUCAUUUUACAGAUGCAGGAUGAGGUGUGUCAACGUGAGAUCCUUGCAAUGAUCUGUAGUCAUGAUAUGCAUGAAACAAAGAUACAGAGAAGUCUGUCUUAGGUUGAUGCUACAAUGUUGAAGAGAAUUGCAGAAAGAAAACUAGAGUUCAGAAGUAUAAUUGAGU